rnacentral:tRNA from 1 species
GGAAGAGUACCCAAGCGGCUGAAGGGGGCGGUUUCGAAAACCGCUAGGUCCAAAAGAUGCAGGGGUUCAAAUCCCCUCUCUUCCGCCA